ensembl:snRNA U6 U6 spliceosomal RNA
GAAUGUAGUUUUGUAUGCAUAUACUAAAAUUGUAAUGAUACAGAGAAGAUUAGCAUGGCCCCUGUGCAAGGAUGACAUGCAAAUUCGUGAAGUGUUCCAUAUUUUU